GCUGGUCAUAUGAUGACAGAAUUUUUUCCCCGGCAGAUCGACCAUGUUGAUUACAUGCUCUAAGCCAGUUUUGUCUGAUGCACCAGC